rnacentral:miRNA from 1 species
CGUGGCAAAGAUACUGCGAUGCG